rnacentral:rRNA from 1 species
GAUGAACGCUGGCGGCGUGCCUAAUACAUGCAAGUCGAGCGAACGGACGAGAAGCUUGCUUCUCUGAUGUUAGCGGCGGACGGGUGAGUAACACGUGGAUAACCUACCUAUUAGACUGGGAUAACUUCGGGAAACCGGAGCUAAUACCGGAUAAUACUUUGAACCGCAUGGUUCAAAAGUGAAAGACGGUCUUGCUGUCACUUAUAGAUGGAUCCGCGCUGCAUUAGCUAGUUGGUAAGGUAACGGCUUACCAAGGCAACGAUGCAUAGCCGACCUGAGAGGGUGAUCGGCCACACUGGAACUGAGACACGGUCCGGACGCCUACGGGAGGCAGCAGUAGGGAAUCUUCCGCAAUGGGCGAAAGCCUGACGGAGCAACGCCGCGUGAGUGAUGAAGGUCUUCGGAUCGUAAAACUCUGUUAUUAGGGAAGAACAUAUGUGUAAGUAACUGUGCACAUCUUGACGGUACCUAAUCAGAAAGCCACGGCUAACUACGUG